rnacentral:rRNA from 1 species
UGGGGAAUUUUGCACAAUGGGGGAAACCCUGAUGCAGCGACGCCGCGUGAUUUAGAAGGCCUUCGGGUUGUAAAAAUCUUUUUUACGGGAUGAAAAUGACAGUACCGUAAGAAUAAGGUCCGGCUAAAUACGUGCCAGCAGCCGCGGUAAUACGUAUGGACCGAGCGUUGUCCGGAAUCAUUGGGCGUAAAGGGUACGUAGGCGGCCUAGUAAGUUAGAAGUGAAAUAAUAUAGCUCAACUAUAUAAAGCUUUUAAAACUGCUAGGCUUGAGAGAUGGAAGGGAAAGUGGAAUUCCGAGUGUAGCGGUGAAAUGCGCAGAUAUUAGGAAGAAUACCGAUGGCGAAGGCGACUUUCUGGUCAUCAUCUGACGCUGAGGUACGAAAGCGUGGGUAGCAAACAGG